GGCAGUCCUCCCAGGCCCACUCUUGUAGAUGACCCCAGCUGACUGCAAUGUUGUCAUAAUGAGUGAGUGAGCUCACAAGAAGCAGCCCUGGGGGAGGCUGCUCAGUGAGCAGGUUAGUCUGCUGGCCUGGGGAGGUGUUUCAGCAUCUCCUGAAGAGAGAGGAGGCUCUUUGGCUCUUGGAUGGAAGACAGCACAUACCACUCUCCACAAAUAUGCCUGUGCACAUCUGCUGAUGCAAUUGCGUGACCUCCUGUGAAGCUCUUCUGUCAUUGACUCCUGCUGAAGAGGUUGCAGAGGAAGAUUAUAGCAUCCUUGGCAAGACAUCAUGGAGCCAAUCUUGAUUGUUUUUUUUAGGGCUACCACUAGAAAAGCUUCAUAAACUGCUCCAUUGUCCCAUGCCAGUGAAGAUGUCAGUCAGAGCUAUCACCUUCUCCCUAUUACCACUAGCCUUUUACCUAUUAUCUUUGAUAGCAGUUGCUAAUGUUACAAGCAAAGAUAAUGAUACACUCUUAAAUAAAAUUGCUAUAAACUUGAUUAUGAUAAUAGAAUAAUGAAAGGUGUAUAGUUUCAGCAAAAUUUUACAGUGUGCGUUUCAUUAUCCUUGCAGGGAGGCUAUCUCCACUCCUCUUUAGUGCCAUGCAAUACCCAGCUGAGAGACAAUCUAAUUUAGAUACUGCGUCUCCAGCAGUGGCCAGGGGUGUUGUUUCUAGAAGAAAGCAGCCAACACUGCCCUGAGUGUGUGAGGUUGCAAGGUUUUGGAUUAAACUCAGCCUGGAACUGAAUGGUUUGGGAUUUUAUUUGGAAAAUCUGUGUUAAUCUGGUUUUGUCACCCUGUCAUUUCACUGGUUGUUUUCAGUCUUCAUUUGUGUGUUGCUAUUUGUAGGGUGUGUAAGAAUGAGACUAAUGAAGUGCAAAGGCUGUGAUGAAAGCAUGGUUUUGCAAUGUGGCAUGAUGUUGUUUUCUAUAGAAUUAGACCUAAGUAAUAAAAUCAGUUUUUAAACUUA